AAGUCGUAACAAGGUCUCCGUUGGUGAACCAGCGGAGGGAUCAUUACAGAGUUACCUAACUCCAAACCCAUGUGAACUUACCUAUGUUGCCUCGGCGGGGAAGCCUACCCGGUACCUACCCUGUAGCUACCCGGGAGCGAGCUACCCUGUAGCCCGCUGCAGGCCUACCCGCCGGUGGACACUUAAACUCUUGUUUUUUUAGUGAUUAUCUGAGUGUUUAUACUUAAUAAGUUAAAACUUUCAACAACGGAUCUCUUGGUUCUG
rnacentral:misc_RNA from 1 species